GGAGCGCGGCGAGUACACGUAGGUACCUGCCCGGAGCGGGGGAUAACAUUUGGAAACAGAUGCUAAUACCGCAUAACAACAAAAGCCGCAUGGCUUUUGUUUGAAAGAUGGCUUUGGCUAUCACUCUGGGAUGGACCUGCGGUGCAUUAGCUAGUUGGUAAGGUAACGGCUUACCAAGGCGAUGAUGCAUAGCCGAGUUGAGAGACUGAUCGGCCACAAUGGAACUGAGACACGGUCCAUACUCCUACGGGAGGCAGCAGUAGGGAAUCUUCCACAAUGGGCGCAAGCCUGAUGGAGCAACACCGCGUGAGUGAAGAAGGGUUUCGGCUCGUAAAGCUCUGUUGUUGGAGAAGAACGUGCGUGAGAGUAACUGUUCACGCAGUGACGGUAUCCAACCAGAAAGUCACGGCUAACUACGUGCCAGCAGCCGCGGUAAUACGUAGGUGGCAAGCGUUAUCCGGAUUUAUUGGGCGUAAAGCGAGCGCAGGCGGUUGCUUAGGUCUGAUGUGAAAGCCUUCGGCUUAACCGAAGAAGUGCAUCGGAAACCGGGCGACUUGAGUGCAGAAGAGGACAGUGGAACUCCAUGUGUAGCGGUGGAAUGCGUAGAUAUAUGGAAGAACACCAGUGGCGAAGGCGGCUGUCUGGUCUGCAACUGACGCUGAGGCUCGAAAGCAUGGGUAGCGAACAGGAUUAGAUACCCUGGGUAGUCCAUGCCCGUAAACGAUGAGUGCUAGGUGUUGGAGGGUUUCCGCCCUUCAGUGCCGGAGCUAACGCAUUAAGCACUCCGCCUGGGGAGUACGACCGCAAGGUUGAAACUCAAAGGAAUUGACGGGGGCCCGCACAAGCGGGGGGAGCAUGUGGUUUAAUUUCGAAGCUACGCGAAGAACCUUUACCAAGGUCUUUGACAUCUUUGCGCUAACCUUUAAAGAUAAGGGGGUUCCCUUUCGGGGAACGCAAAUGACCAGGUGGGUGCAUGGGCCGUCGUCCAGCUUCGUGGCCGUGAAAAUGUUGGGGUUAAAGUCCCCGCAACGAAGCGCAACCCUUUGUUACUAAGUUGCCCAGCAAUUAAGUUUGGGCACUCUAAGUGAAGACUUGCCGGUUAACAAACCGAAAGAGAAGAGGUGGGCUUGGUUGAUCCAUCCGNCCAAAAACCAAGGUAAAAA
rnacentral:rRNA from 1 species